rnacentral:rRNA from 1 species
AUUGAACGCUGGCGGCAGGCCUAACACAUGCAAGUCGAACGAGUGGCGGACGGGUGAGUAAUGUCUGGGAAACUGCCUGAUGGAGGGGGAUAACUACUGGAAACGGUAGCUAAUACCGCAUACCAUCAGAUGUGCCCAGAUGGGAUUAGCUAGUUGGUGGGGUACGGCUCACCAAGGCGACGAUCCCUAGCUGGUCUGAGAGGAUGACCAGCCACACUGGAACAUAGACACGGUUCAGACGCCGAUGGGAGGCAGCAGUGGGGAAUAUUGCAGUAUGGGCGCAAGCCUGAUGCAGCCAUGCCGGGGCUAUGAAGAAGGCCUUCGGGUUGUAAAGUACUUUCAGCGGGGAGGCGUUACUCGCAGAAGAAGUACCGGCUAACUCAGUGCCAGCAGCCGCGGUAAUAC